AGGAGGGGAAAAGGAGAGAAAGAGAGAGCGAGCCUGGGCAGCCCAAAUGCAACCAACAGUUGUGAGGCAGUUGCAUCUGACAGCAUCAGACACCUCAAUCAAGGUACCCUUCCAUGAAUGACGGAAUGUGAUGGGUCUACUCACAAAGAGGAAGGCAGUGGAUUGCGCAGCAGGAGCUACAGCAUGACUGGCUGAUCAGAGAGCCACAUGAGUAACGAGUCCUCUUUGCCCGUUGUGUGUGACAUGAAUCGACAGGCACCCACUUAUUAAAGUGUGCCGUGGAUUUUGACAUACCUAUUUAUUCCAUGCCGAAUAUUGAAUUGCUAAGAAGUGGUUCCAUUGCUUGGUGUAUUCAUAUUGCCAAUGAAAUAGCUAUUCAACACCUGACGUGUCAUGAAUCUUGUAAACAUUGCAACAAAAAGAGGAUGACUUGUUUGACAGCCUGUGGCUAGACAGCUUUCAUUUCAGGACUGACACAUGUUUAAAUCAUGACAAAAUAUUAAAAAGGAUAUGCAUACAAAAUCA